GCGCCCAUAGCUCAGUGGAUAGAGCAUCUGACUACGGAUCAGAUGGUCGGGGGUUCGAAUCCUCCUGGGCGCUCCA
rnacentral:tRNA from 1 species